GUGCUCGCUUCAGCAGUACAUAUACUUAAACUGGACCGAUACAGAGAAGAUAAGCAUGGCCCCUGCACAAGGAUGACACGCAAAUUCGUGUUCUGUAUUUUU
rnacentral:snRNA from 1 species